rnacentral:rRNA from 1 species
UACGUAGGGGGCAAGCGUUGUCCGGAAUCAUUGGGCGUAAAGAGCGUGUAGGCGGCCAGAUAAGUCCGCUGUGAAAUCUCGAGGCUCAACUUCGAGCUGUCGGUGGAAACUGUCUGGCUAGAGUCCGGAAGAGGAGAAUGGAAUUCCUGGUGUAGCGGUGAAAUGCGCAGAUAUCAGGAGGAACACCUAUUGCGAAGGCAGCUCGCUGGGACGUAACUGACGCUGAGACGCGAAAGCGUGGGGAGCAAACAGG